GCCCCUGUGGCGGAACUGGCAGACGCACGCGGCCCAAACCCGCGCGCCCGCAACGGGUUUGCAGGUUCAACUCCUGCCAGGGGCA
rnacentral:tRNA from 1 species